AAGCAAAGGCAUCGAUUUAAAAUCGAUGGCGCAAAUUGCAUUGAAGGUUGGUGAUAAAUCAGCGAUUCUCCAUGCCUAUCAAAUCUCUUUUGGUUUUGAUUAUGGCCUCGAACAAGUUGCUACAUU